rnacentral:misc_RNA from 1 species
GAUGAAGAACGUAGCGAAAUGCGAUAAGUAAUGUGAAUUGCAGAAUUCAGUGAAUCAUCGAAUCUUUGAACGCACAUUGCGCCCGCCAGUAUUCUGGCGGGCAUGCCUGUUCGAGCGUCAUUACAACCCUCAGGCCCCCGGGCCUGGCGUUGGGGAUCGGCGGAAGCCCCCUGUGGGCACACGCCGUCCCUCAGAUACAGUGGCGGUCCCGCCGCAGCUUCCAUUGCGUAGUAGCUAACACCUCGCAACUGGAGAGCGGCGCGGCCAUGCCGUAAAACACCCAACUUCUGAAUGUUGACCUCGAAUCAGGUAGGAAUACCCGCUGAACUUAAGCAUAUCAAUAAGCGGAGGA